rnacentral:rRNA from 1 species
AUUGAACGCUAGCGGGAUGCUUUACACAUGCAAGUCGAACGAGUGGCGGACGGGUGAGUAAUAUAUCGGAACGUGCCCAGUCGCGGGGGAUAACUACUCGAAAGAGUGGCUAAUCCCGCAUACUAUUGGAGCGGCCGAUAUCGGAUUAGCUAGUUGGUGGGGUAAAGGCUCACACAGGCCACGAUCCGUAGCUGGUCUGAGAGGACGACCAGCCACACUGGGACUGAGACACGGCCCAGACUCCUACGGGAGGCAGCAGUGGGGAAUGUUGGACAAUGGCUGAAACCCUGACCCAGCCAUCCCGCGUGUAUGAGAAGGCCUUCGGGUUGUAAAGUACUUUUGGCAGAGAAGCGGUAUCUGCAGAAUAAGCACCGGCUAACUACGUGCCAGCAGCCGCGGUAAUUC